GGAGAGGUGGCAGAGUGGCUGAACGCGCACGCUUGGAAAGUGUGUUUACAGAGAUGUAACGGGGGUUCGAAUCCCCCUCUCUCCG
rnacentral:tRNA from 1 species